CUUCUCGGCCCUCUCGUCGAGCCGCAGUCCCGCCGGAGAGGAGGAGGGCGUCUCGCCGCGAGCCCGCGACGAGUCACUGCGGGGGAUCUCACGCCUCCGGCCCCGCCGCAUCCUCCUGCAGGAAGGGGUCGCUCGCCGCCUUCGCCGGGGGUGGCAUCGUACUGCGGCAGCGGCGGCGGCGUGCCCCGCCGGAGCGGGAGGAGGGUGCAUGCUAGCGUUCGCGGUGGCGUUCCGCGCGGCGAAACGCGAAUCGCCUUGGGGUAUACUCAGCCGCUGCUUCCUUCCGGUUGCUGUUUCGCGAUGGUAUGGCCACCUUUACCUUGGAGUGGGUCUUUUCUGCUCUUUCUUUACAAGUUGCUGACAUAUUACAAUAUACUUCAAAUCAUGCUACAUAGAGGUUUGCUUUGCUA